rnacentral:rRNA from 1 species
CGCCUCUUGACAACCUAUAAGAGGUCUAGCCUGCCCAGUGAUAAAAUUAAACGGCCGCGGUACCCUGACCGUGCAAAGGUAGCAUAAUCACUUGCCCCUUAAAUAGGGACUUGUAUCAACGGCAUCACGAGGGUUAUACUGUCUCCCCCAUCUAAUCAGUGAAACUGACCUCCCCGUGAAGAGACGGGGAUAUAACUACAAGACGAGAAGACCCCAUGGAGCUUUAAACCCAAUGACAACCGAUACUCAAACAUCCCCACAUAAAUAUAAAGCAAUGUACAUUGGUUUUGGGUUGGGGUGACCGCGGAGCAAAACCAAACCUCCAUGACGAACAGGAAUAUUCCUAAUCUACGAACUGCCACUCUAAGAAUCAAUAAAUUUGACGUAAUAUGAUCCGGCAACCGAUCAACGAACCAAGUUACCCUGGGGAUAACAGCGCAAUCCAUUUCAAGAGCUCCUAUCGACAAAUGGGUUUACGACCUCGAUGUUGGAUCAGGGUAUCCCAGUGGUGCAGCCGCUACUAAAGGUUUGUUUGUUCAACAAUUAAAACCCU